GGGUUUGUUUGGGCAAGGAAAUGGCAUUAAUGGAGAUGAAAAGUGUAGCUCUUCAAGUGAUUAGGUCCUUUAACGUUCGGGUUGUGGAUCCGGUUCAGGCACCAAGAUUUUCCCCAGGUCUUACUGCCACCGUGAGAGGUGGCUUACCAGUUUUGAUCCAAGAAAGAGAGUCCUCUACGAACCACCAUCACCAUAUAUAGUUAGGCCAUGCAUGUAGCCAAUCCAGCCAUGUAAAUAUGUGUGAUGAUAUCUAAUGGGCCAAAAAUGGGGCAUACGCCCUUGGAAUUGGCAUCUUCCCGUGCAUAUCACUAUGAAGCACUGCUUCUUCUUUA
rnacentral:misc_RNA from 1 species